GAGGUUAGACGUAACCCGACUGCAGCUCUUUAAAAGCACUGUUGGUUUUUCAGAAGUACAUAAUUUCAGUGUUUUGGGACCUCAGAGGGCUGGGCUGAGUGCUGCGACGGCGAAGCAGCGCUGAGCUGGAGCUGCCGUGUUUCCUCCCAGGCGUGUAUAAACGGCACUUGUCACCCACGCUCGGUCCUGGGAUACAGCUGUGACAGCGACGUGCAGUGCCACGGCCACGGCGUAAGUGACCCCACGGCACGGGGCAGGUGCCUUCGUCCUGCAGACUGGCUGUGGGAACUGGCUGGAGACCCAUUUUAGGCUCAUUUUGUGCAAAAUCCUGACCUUGCCAGCCAAUAGACAGAGUGAAACCAUUCCAACUAUUGAUCCUAAACCCAGUAUCAAAAUAUGAGGCUUUAUUCACCGAAAUGGAGAACUUGGUGGUUGGUCUGGUUUAUGGAGGGGGAAAAAGAUGAAAGGAAAAUCGCAGGGAUGUAGAAUUGAGGGCAGCGGAGAUCGUGUAGGUACAACCUGUGGCUGGAGGGAGCGGGGGAGCUGCACUGCCCUGCGGGGGGGCUGCACUGCCCUGCGGGGGGGCUGCCGGGCUCCCCAGACCCCACUGGGCUCUGCUGAUGGCCAGGGCAGGGAGCUCCUGUUUGCUGCUCGUCACACAGAAAUCAGGGGGUGUUGCAGGAGGGGGAUGUUUUAUGCUUGCUCGAUGUCUCCAGGCUACUGGAGCCCGCACUUCAUGGUGUGGUCCUUGUCGGACGGGAUUCCUAAGCUGCCAGAACCCGAGGACCAUGCGUGGCUUUGUCCCAGCCCCACCAGUGCCACUGAGACUGGUGCUGGUCUGGGCAUGAGCGUCCAUGGCCUGAAUUCAUUGCAAACUCUUCCCACCCGCCCCCGGGUUUUUCAGGUGUGCAACAACAAGGGCCACUGCCACUGCCAGCCCGGCUGGCAGCCCCCCAACUGCCUGCAGAAGGGGUCCCACAUGGGCGGGAGCAUCGACAGCAGCAUCGAGGUGAAGGACUACGGUGAGUGCCCGCAGCGGCGGUGGGGACAGACGCCGGGCUGGGGUCCCUGGGGCCGGCGGGGAGGGUGGCGGUGCCAUGUCUCCUCCCAGGCCUCCCGCCGCGAGGGAGGAAGAAGGCGACGCUGGUCUGGACGGUGCUGGGCUCCUGCCUCCCCCUGCUCCUCCUCGCCGGGGCCGUCUGCCUCGUCCUGUGGCGUCGGGGCUGGCACUGCGGGCAGCAGACCCACAGCACAGACAGCUCCUACGAGGAGGAGAGCAGCGACCCCCUGGAGCCGGAGCCGGACCCCGGGCUGGACCCGGCCCCGGACCCGCACCGGGAGCCGGAGAUGGAGAUGGGGCCGGGGCCGGGGCCGUGCCGCGGGCGCUAAUAAAGGCGUUGGGAGGAGCCGCGUGUCCGCCUCGCCGUGCGGGGGUGGCGGGGCCGUUACCGGGCGGGCCGGGGAGGAUGGAGCCGUUACCGGGCGGGCCGGGGGCCGUUACCGGCCGGCGGGGAGGAUGUGGCCGCGCCGGGCGCUGCUGGCCGCGCUGUGUGAGUGAGAGCCCCCCCCCCCCCCCCGGUCCUCCCCCGGAGGGACCGGCCCCCAAGCCCCCGCAGCCGGUCGCCCCGGGACCUCCCGGCCCGGAACUGACCUCGCGGCCCGCAGUGACGUCACACCCUGGAAACUGACAUCGCGGGCUGCAGAGUGACGUCACCGCCGGCGGCAGCCCCCGGGCCGGCAGCUGCGCCCCCCAGGGCCGUGCCCCUCCCGAGCCCCCCCCAUCCCCGGGGUGUCGCGGCUGGUGACGAGCCCAGGGAGGGGCCACCGGGGCCGGGAGGGGUGUCCGGGCGGGGGAGCCCGUCUGUCCCCAGGCUGGCGUUGGGACGGGGGGGUUGUCGUUCCUCCCGGCUGCUCGGGGUGGGGGCGUGGGGAUGAUUUUGUCCUCCCAGCCCGAGGGAUCCCGUGGAGGGUUUUGUGCUCUCUUAGUUCGUCCUUUGCUGUCGGGCGGGGGGGCAGCAGCCCCUGCCAGCGCCCCCUUUCUCUGCAGGGGCACGGGGGUGGUUGGGCUCUGUCCGUCGGGUUGGUUGGGAGCUGCGCGGUGGGACAGGGAGGCAGCGGGAGCUGUGGCUCCCCCUGAAAUGGGCUUUUCUUGCCUGGCUGUGGCUGUGGGGGGUGCCCGGCCUCCCCCAGCCCCAUUUGUGUUCCCGAUGCAAGGUGGGUUUCUUCAGCUGGAGCUUGCUCCCGUCAUACAUGUUCCUGCCCCUGGGCUCUCACCCAGCAGUAGUGCGAGCACAUCGUGUUGGUUUUUCUAUGCAAGCGUCUGGAUGCUUUUAAAUGAAGUGUGGGUGAAGGACAGCAGGGUAGAAAGUGGAGUUGGAGAAAACCUCUCUGCGUCUCUCCACGUGGGUAGAAAGGUGUCUGUGACAGGCGUGUGCAGCUCUGACUGUGGCUGACGGGCACAGGCACGGUGAUACCAACCUGUCAUUAUAAUUAAGAAACAAAUUCUUUCCCUAGGUUCGCAAAUGUUGCUCCACUUCACAGCUCCCGAGAGCCUGCUC
rnacentral:lncRNA from 1 species